rnacentral:misc_RNA from 1 species
GCAAGGAACAACUCGAGUAUUGACAAAAGAGCAUGCAGAAAAAGAGGAAUGGUGUUUCCUUUCCAUCCAUUGUCACUUGCGUUUUCAAGUUGUCUCCACUUACCAUAUAGAUAAAUCACUAACUAAUACAAUGUUUGUUUUUUCAGAGUGUUGCAGGAGUUCCGAAAAUAAAAGAGGGAUAUAAUCCAGCUACUUGGAUAUUGGAUAUCACCAUUCCAGCAGUUGAGGGUCAACUAAAUGUGUAAUUUGGAGACAUUUACGUGAACUCAGAUCUAUAUAGCCAGAUUUGGUGCUCUUUACAGGGGAUUUAGGGAAUGAAAGUGUGGAUCUGGUCCGAAGCAUUACAGAUCUAGAGAUCACUAAAGUUGUUAUUCUACGGAACUCAAAAGUUCUCUGGGAAGUGAGUCCAAAGUUCCAUUUUACCAGACUGCUAAGAGGAAAAACAUCACUUUCUCAAUAAUUUUCCAUCAUUGUUGGAAUUCAACUAUGGUAGAUAGGGUGGUCGGAUCAGUGUUGUUGUUUGAUAAAGGUUGUUGUUGAUAAUGGCAAAUGGGUUGACAACUGUGGUAGUGUGUGAGUAGGACUAAUUAGCAUUGAUUUUGGUGGUAGAGCCCUUGAAAAAUCAUUGAUAAAUUUAAAGGAUGUUUUCCUUGAACAUAACGUCCUCAGAACUUCGAGCAUUAACUGUGAACAACAUCAAUAACUUGAAAAUAUGAAAUAUCAAAAAAGGAUGAAACAUAUUGUUAGGCUCAUUUUUUCGGUCCACUUAUUUGGCAUGUCUGAAAAAAUUAGUUUUCUCUAAUGGUGAGAUGUAAUACCUCUUAACUAGUGUUUUGAAUUCAUACACUUCUUU